GCAUGCGCGCCUCGCGCCUCGCGUCUGCCACUGCCUCCGCGCUAGACUGGCCCCCGCGGAUCCCUGGGCCGGGCUCUGCGCGUGGGUGGGGGAGGUCCGCGUGGCCUCCGGGACUGCCCCUCGGUGCUGGCUGUCGGCGGGGGACGCAAGCCUAAGCUGCCUGUUUUGGGAGGGUGCGAUGGGGCCGUGGAGGAGGGUCUGCGCGUGGCUCUCCGGGAGUGCAGAGUGGAAGCAAGGCUUGCCGCCGACAUAACCCAGCUAGGGCGGAGUGGCGAGUAAUGGCCUUGUAGGCCAUCCAGGGCAGCCUGGGCAGGCUUUGGCCAGCUUCGCACGGGUGCCACUGCACAGGCUCCCUUCAGAGCAGUGCCGGAGGACGGCGCCAGGAGCCAGUGCACACAUCCCUCCUGUCCUGGGGGCCGGACAGCCACCGCGCGGGGAGACCCUUCGCUCAGGAGCAGCGCUGGUGUUGGCUCCACUCGCCGGGUCGCCCAGGGCCCUUCACUUCCCGAUCAACUCCCCACCGCCGCCGCUUUCACGGGAAGCCAAGCCAAGUCACCUACGGCACGUGCACUGGAUCAAAAUAAUACACGUUUGCACAUGCGCCAGACGGCCUAUGGGAAGGUUUUUCAUUCCUGGCAUCUUGAGGAAAGGUUUGGCCAUGUGACUUAUAUGACUAAUGAAAUGUUGGCAGAAGGAAUGUGUGUCACUUCUGGGCAAAAGCCGUUAAGAGCCAUAGUGAUGAAUCCAGAUGGCGGAGGCGUCAUUCCCCUCCUGUAGUAUGAGCUGUGAGAAAUAAACCUUGUCAUGUGAAGCCACUGAGAUUUGGGGUUGUUAUUGCAGCAAACCAGGCCCAUCCUGACUAACACAUCCUAAAUCCUUUCAGAAACAAAACAGUACAGGCAAACUAGCAAACAGACAGGCAGACAGAUUAUUUCCCUGGAAACUCUGAGCCCUGAGAAUCCAGAGUUCCUUUCUUGGAUGCUGGAUGGCAAGUGAAAGUAUGCUCAAAUCAAGGUUGGCACACCUCACGUUCACACUGAGCUGAAGGUGUGGGAGCUCCCACUCUGAGCUGGAGGGCCACGGUCACAGCUACUCAGUCAGGACCAGCCCUUGCUCCGUGUUGUGCUCAUCUACAUCAUGGCCUUGUGAGGCUGCAGGUCGGAGUGGACUCUGGGGCUGUGGGUCAUUCCACAGGGCUCUGAUAACAGCCUCCUCAUUCCUCCUACAGGGCUCCUUGGCUCUAGCCCUGUAAGUCAAGCCUCUUUCUUAUUUGUUUGGGUUCUUUUUGUAGUUGUUAUAUAUUCAUGAGUCAGUAGUCAUGACGGAUCACAGCUUUUAGUGAACAUUGUCAUCCGCACCAUGUUAAAUUAAAAAGCAGGAGGCCAGGCCAGGCGCAGUGGCUCACACCUGUAAUCCCAGCAUUUUGGGAGACUGAGGUGGGCGGAUCACAACAUCAGGAGAUCGAGACCAUCCUGGCUAACACAGUGAACCCCGUCUCUACUAAAAAUACCGGAUGGAGACCGGCUCUGCCUGUGUCCUGGUGCCCUGCCCCACAGUGCAGUGGAACCAGAGACAGGGCUGCGGGACGAUAGCAGCACUUCAGGAACUGCUGUAAGGAGAAAGGUCCAAGGCAGGAAACACGUCCCAUAGGGACAAAGGGGAGCCUGAUCACCUCCCGGGGACCGACCACUAAUCCAACCCAGAGUGGCUGGGGGUGGCAGGAGUGGCCUGCCAAUUUGCCAAUUUGGAUGAACCUCAUGUCCCCACUAAUAAGGUGGAAGGGAGAAAACAGGCCAACAGAGUAGCAAGUGCAGCAAGAAAGAGCUUGCUGGCAGGGUGGCAAGAGUGGUUUACCACCCCAAAUGGGAGUGUGUGGGUGCAUGUGAACUGGGAGUGUGUGGGUGCGUAUGAACCUACUGGGGACAUGACAGGGGCUCAUUUCGUCCAAUGAGGAGCCCUGGGGUAGCAGUGGUGUAUGUAUGUGUGUGUGUGAACGUGGGAGCCUAACUAGGUUCACCCGGGACACAGGAGAGGCCCGUUUCAUCUGGUGAGGAGUCCUGGGGCAGAGGAGGUGUGUGAAAGUGCGUGAAAGAGAUGGUAUGGGAGAGGCCAACGCAGGCAGUGACAUGGGGAGGCACAGAUCCCUUAGUGUAGGCUGUGUGCUCCGAGGUGAGUGCAGGGGAAAUCAGACCUAGGGCACUGCAUACGGCUGAUAGGACCAGCUCCACGGCUGCAGCAGGCUGUGAGAUGGGAAGGCACAUUCCUGGCUAAGCAGCAUCCGAAACUCUCAUAAUAGGACCUGGUCUGGUAGACCCGAGACUGAAAGUGUGCCACAAGGAAGGAAAUGGGAGGGAAAGCGUCACAACCAACUCCUUUGGAGUGCAUGUUAAAAAAAAGUUUUUAAAAAGGAUUUAGAGGUGAUUGUGGGAUGAAACUGGAUGCUCAAAACUUAAGGACAUACUAUGAAUUAGAACAGCCCUCUUUUAGUGUUGGAUGGCUGGCCGAAGGCAAUGUAGAGAAAUUGGCCAUGUGUUUUAAGGUGGUGAUUGGGGUCGAGGACACGACCUAGUCUUUAUAUUGAUUCAUGGCUAAAUAAAUGCAGCCCUGCCUAGCAGUUUACUGUAGAAUGCUCGCGGCUCCUGCCAAGAUGAACCAGCUGCGCUGGCAGCUACAGAGUUAAAGGGAAAGUCACAGAGGCUUGUAACUCCAACAGUAAAAAGCGAAAAGUAAAAACCAAGAGUGGAAGUAAAAAUCAGCUGCCCAGGCAGCUAUGGAAACAAAAGAAAAGUCUCAGGAAAGAGAAAACCGGUUUUGCAAGAACCAGAGGAGGGAAUGGAGACCCCUCCUCCCUACAUUCCAAUCUUCCCCCUGUUACCAAGGCUAACUGCCCCUAAGGGGUUAAGAGAUACAAGCUCCCAGUAUCACCCAAGAAGCAGAAA
ensembl:lncRNA